UGCCUUAGAAACUUAGAGGUAG
rnacentral:piRNA from 1 species